GAUGAACGCUAGCGGCAGGCUUAACACAUGCAAGUCGAGGGGCAGCGCGAGGUAGCAAUACCUUGGCGGCGACCGGCGCACGGGUGAGUAACGCGUAUCCAACCUUCCCCUUACUAGGGAAUAGCCCGGCGAAAGUCGGAUUAAUGCCCUAUGUUCUCCUUUGCGGGCAUCUAACGAGGAGCAAAGAUUCAUCGGUAAGGGAUGGGGAUGCGUCUGAUUAGCCGGUUGGCGGGGUAACGGCCCACCAAGGCGACGAUCAGUAGGGGUUCUGAGAGGAAGGUCCCCCACAUUGGUACUGAGACACGGACCAAACUCC
rnacentral:rRNA from 1 species